CACGUAAGUUGCGAGCGUUGUUCGGAAUUAUUGGGCGUAAAGGGCAUGUAGGCGGAUAUGCAAGCUUGGUGUGAAAUUCUGGGGCUUAACUCCAGAACUGCGUUGAGAACUGCAUAACUAGAGUAACUGAGGGGCAGCCGGAAUUCCAGGUGUAGGGGUGAAAUCUGUAGAUAUCUGGAAGAACACCAAUGGCGAAGGCAGGCUACCAGCAGAUUACUGACGCUGAGGUGCGAAGGUGCGGGGAG
rnacentral:rRNA from 1 species